UACGGAGGGGGCUAGCGUUGCUCGGAAUCACUGGGCGUAAAGGGUGCGUAGGCGGGUUUUUAAGUCAGAGGUGAAAUCCUGGAGCUCAACUCCAGAACUGCCUUUGAUACUGAAAGUCUUGAGUAUGGGAGAGGUGAGUGGAACUGCGAGUGUAGAGGUGAAAUUCGUAGAUAUUCGCAAGAACACCAGUGGCGAAGGCGGCUCACUGGCCCAUUACUGACGCUGAGGCACGAAAGCGUGGGGAGCAAACAGG
rnacentral:rRNA from 1 species